rnacentral:rRNA from 1 species
AUGGACGCAAGUCUGAUGGAGCAACGCCGCGUGAGUGAAGAAGGGUUUCGGCUCGUAAAGCUCUGUUGGUAGUGAAGAAAGAUAGAGGCAGUAACUGGCCUUUAUUUGACGGUAAUUACUUAGAAAGUCACGGCUAACUACGUGCCAGCAGCCGCGGUAAUACGUAGGUGGCAAGCGUUGUCCGGAUUUAUUGGGCGUAAAGCGAGUGCAGGCGGUUCAAUAAGUCUGAUGUGAAAGCCUUCGGCUCAACCGGAGAAUUGCAUCAGAAACUGUUGAACUUGAGUGCAGAAGAGGAGAGUGGAACUCCAUGUGUAGCGGUGGAAUGCGUAGAUAUAUGGAAGAACACCAGUGGCGAAGGCGGCUCUCUGGUCUGCAACUGACGCUGAGGCUCGAAAGCAUGGGUAGCGAACAGGAUUAGAUACCCUGGUAGUCCAUGCCGUAAACGAUGAGUGCUAAGUGUUGGGAGGUUUCCGCCUCUCAGUGCUGCAGCUAACGCAUUAAGCACUCCGCCUGGGGAGUACGACCGCAAGGUUGAAACUCAAAGGAAUUGACGGGGGCCCGCACAAGCGGUGGAGCAUGUGGUUUAAUUCGAAGCAACGCGAAGAACCUUACCAGGUCU